GGCUGUGUGGUCUAGUGGUAUGAUUCUCGCUUAGGGUGCGAGAGGUCCCGAGAUCAAUUCCCGGCACAGUCC
rnacentral:tRNA from 1 species